rnacentral:rRNA from 1 species
UACGAAGGGGGCUAGCGUUGCUCGGAAUCACUGGGCGUAAAGGGUGCGUAGGCGGGUCUUUUAAGUCAGGGGUGAAAUCCUGGAGCUCAACUCCAGAACUACCUUUGAUACUGAAGAUCUUGAGUUCGGGAGAGGUGAGUGGAACUGCGAGUGUAGAGGUGAAAUUCGUAGAUAUUCGCAAGAACACCAGUGGCGAAGGCGGCUCACUGGCCCGAUACUGACGCUGAGGCACGAAAGCGUGGGGAGCAAACAGG